AUUGAACGCUGGCGGCAUGCCUUACACAUGCAAGUCGAACGGUAACAGGUCUUCGGAUGCUGACGAGUGGCGAACGGGUGAGUAAUACAUCGGAACGUGCCCAGUCGUGGGGGAUAACGCAGCGAAAGCUUAGCUAAUACCGCAUACGAUCUACGGAUGAAAGCGGGGGACCGCCAGACCUCGCGCGAUUGGAGCGGCCGAUGGCAGAUUAGGUAGUUGGUGGGAUAAAGGCUCACCAAGCCUACGAUCUGUAGCUGGUCUGAGAGGACGACCAGCCACACUGGAACUGAGACACGGUCCAGACUCCUACGGGAGGCAGCAGUGGGGAAUUUUGGACAAUGGGCGCAAGCCUGAUCCAGCAAUGCCGCGUGCAGGAUGAAGGCCUUCGGGUUGUAAACUGCUUUUGUACGGAACGAAAAAGCUUCUUCUAAUACAGGAGGCUCAUGACGGUACCGUAAGAAUAAGCACCGGCUAACUACGUGCCAGCCGCCGCCGUAA
rnacentral:rRNA from 1 species